rnacentral:lncRNA from 1 species
UGUGGUUUUAAGUUCUAGAUGAAGCAUUCAUUCAAUUAUGUUGCAAAAAGACAAUAUUCAAUUUACCAAAAAGAGUAAAGUUCCUAAUGCAUUCUAAAAUUCUAGCCGACGGUAACCAUGUACCUUAGCUUCAUUCACUUGUUUAUUCUUAUCAUUGCCAUCCAAGCUCGGAUGCACCUUCAUUGGGUACUUCUUGAGGAGCAACCAAUCUAGAAGGGUUUGCCACUCAUUCAACCAAAAAUUUAUUAAACACACAAAAUUAAAAACAAAAAUAAAUAACAUUAACUGAAAAUAAAAAUUUGUUCGUGGGGGACAAAACACCCCAAUAGUACAACCCAUGGUCAAAAUACAAAAUUCGAAAAUACAAAUGGAAAUGACAUAAUAAAAACUGAAAUACAAAUACAAAAACUUAACCCACAAAGGGCUCAGGACUCCUCUUCGCUACCGGCCUCAGAACCGGUAGCCUCAUCAUCAACAUCAUCAUCAUCAGCAGCCUCAGCGUCCACCCCCUCACCAUAGACUGGCCUGUCCACAGGCCAAUUAGCGUUAAGCAUAAACUGCUCACGCGCUAACAAUGCUCGAGCAC